GACGAACGCUGGCGGCGCGCCUAACACAUGCGAGUCGAACGAGCGAGAGAGAGCUUGCUUUCUCGAGCGAGUGGCGAACGGGUGAGUAACGCGUGAGGAACCUGCCUCAAAGAGGGGGACAACAGUUGGAAACGACUGCUAAUACCGCAUAAGCCCACGACCCGGCAUCGGGUAGAGGGAAAAGGAGCAAUCCGCUUUGAGAUGGCCUCGCGUCCGAUUAGCUAGUUGGUGAGGUAACGGCCCACCAAGGCGACGAUCGGUAGCCGGACUGAGAGGUUGAACGGCCACAUUGGGACUGAGACACGGCCCAGACUCCUACGGGAGGCAGCAGUGGGGAAUAUUGCACAAUGGGGGAAACCCUGAUGCAGCGACGCCGCGUGGAGGAAGAAGGUCUUCGGAUUGUAAACUCCUGUUGUUGAGGAAGAUAAUGACGGUACUCAACAAGGAAGUGACGGCUAACUACGUG
rnacentral:rRNA from 1 species